UGGCGAACGGGUGAGUAACGCGUGAGGAACCUGCCUCAAAGAGGGGGACAACAGUUGGAAACGACUGCUAAUACCGCAUAAGCCCACGGCCCGGCAUCGGGCUGCGGGAAAAGGAUUUAUUCGCUUCAGGAUGGACUCGCGUCCAAUUAGCUGGUUGGUGAGGUAACGGCCCACCAAGGCGACGAUUGGUAGCCGGACUGAGAGGUUGAACGGCCACAUUGGGACUGAGACACGGUCCAA
rnacentral:rRNA from 1 species